rnacentral:lncRNA from 10 species
CGACUUACAAUAUUUUCCAUUUAUGAUGGGUUUAUUCUGAGUUAACCCAUUGUAAGUCCAGGAGUGUACUGAAUGCAACAUCACAGCCGAAAAACCCCAAAUUGGACCAUGGGGCUCCAAUCAAGAACCUAGAAGGACAGAAGGAAAAGUUUUUUCCUUUGCUACCCUACGUUACAGAUGAGGAAACUGAGGCUCAGAGAGGGGAAGCGACCUGCCCAAGGUCACACAGCCAGCACAAGGUAGAGCUGGAAUUCGAACCCGGUCUACCUGGCUCUUCUGUUACACUUUCAGUCCCGAUGCUAGCUUUGGUGUGAACCAAACCAGAACACGUCAAGUGUUUAGCACAGCACCAGGCAAACAGGUUCCUGGCAGAAGCAAUCCAUCCUCUUUCAGGGAUUCGUCCUGGAUGGGCACCUCCCUGCCAGGAGCUGAGACUGAGGCUCUAAGACUUGAAGGGAUUUGCAGACAUGAGGUGAUUUGUAGGCAUGAGGAUAAAGGAGGGCUGUGACAGCCACUCAGGAACACAGGAGCACAUCCCUGUGCAGGUGAUGUUUGGGGAGACCCUUGA